rnacentral:rRNA from 1 species
GAUGAACGCUGGCGGCGUGCCUAAUACAUGCAAGUCGAGCGAACAGACGAGGAGCUUGCUCCUCUGACGUUAGCGGCGGACGGGUGAGUAACACGUGGAUAACCUACCUAUAAGACUGGGAUAACUUCGGGAAACCGGAGCUAAUACCGGAUAAUAUAUAGAACCGCAUGGUUCUAUAGUGAAAGACGGUUUUGCUAUCACUUAUAGAUGGAUCCGCGCCGCAUUAGCUAGUUGGUAAGGUAACGGCUUACCAAGGCAACGAUGCGUAGCCGACCUGAGAGGGUGAUCGGCCACACUGGAACUGAGACACGGUCCAGACUCCUACGGGAGGCAGCAGUAGGGAAUCUUCCGCAAUGGGCGAAAGCCUGACGGAGCAACGCCGCGUGAGUGAUGAAGGUCUUCGGAUCGUAAAACUCUGUUAUUAGGGAAGAACAAAUGUGUAAGUAACUGUGCACGUCUUGACGGUACCUAAUCAGAAAGCCACGGCUAACUACGUG